rnacentral:rRNA from 1 species
AACGAACGCUGGCGGCAUGCCUAACACAUGCAAGUCGAACGAGACCUUCGGGUCUAGUGGCGCACGGGUGCGUAACGCGUGGGAACCUGCCCUUAGGUUCGGAAUAACUCCCCGAAAGGGGUGCUAAUACCGGAUAAUGUCUUCGGACCAAAGAUUUAUCGCCUUUGGAUGGGCCCGCGUUGGAUUAGCUAGUUGGUAGGGUAAAAGCCUACCAAGGCGACGAUCCAUAGCUGGUCUGAGAGGAUGAUCAGCCACACUGGGACUGAGACACGGCCCAGACUCGUACGCGAGGCAGCAGUGGGGAAUAUUCGACAAUGUGCGAAAGCCUGCUCCAGCAAUGCCGCGUGAGUGAUGAAGGCCUUAGGGUUGUAAAGCUCUUUUACCCGGGAUGAUAAUGACAGUACCGGGCGAAUAAGCCCCGGCUAACUCCGUG